AUGAGAGUUUGAUCCUGGCUCAGGACGAACGCUGGCGGCGUGCCUAAUACAUGCAAGUCGAACUCUUCUUUUUCCACCGGAGCUUGCUCCACCGGAAAAAGAGGAGUGGCGAACGGGUGAGUAACACGUGGGUAACCUGCCCAUCAGAAGGGGAUAACACUUGGAAACAGGUGCUAAUACCGUAUAACAAUCAAAACCGCAUGGUUUUGAUUUGAAAGGCGCUUUCGGGUGUCGCUGAUGGAUGGACCCGCGGUGCAUUAG
rnacentral:rRNA from 1 species